CAUUCAUCCCACUUCAGCCUCCCGUGUAGCCGGGACUACAGGUAUGAAAUAAUUUCCUAUUGAAGUCAUCUUAACAUGGAACCAGAAUUAAAUCCUAACAACAAUCAUGUGAGCCUGGGGAGGAUCCUUCCCCACGUGAGCCUUCAGGGGAGACUUCAGCCUUGGCCAUCUUCUCCAUCUAGAUUCCUGACCAAGAGAAACUGACCAUAUAUUCUGUUGCUCUUCACAUCUUGGAAUUAUAUUGUCCAUUUCCAGGGUCAAAGACCACAGAAUAAAUGUCAUCCUGGCAGCAGAAACAGGUUCUAAGUAUGUUGCCCAAGCUGGUCCUGAACUCCUAGCCUCAAGUAAUCCUCCUGCCUCAACCUACCAAAGCAUUGGGAUUACAAGUUUGACCCACCAUGAUCAGUCCAGGGUAGGAAAUGGAAUCUUAACAACUGUCACGUGAGCUUUGAGGGAAUCCUUCUCCAGAUGAGCCUUCAGUUGAGACCUCAGCCUUGGACAUCAUCUACAUCUGGAUUCCUGACCCAGAGCAACUACAGGCAUGCGUAUAUUAUACCAGCUUCCGGGGAGGCUGACUUGGGAGGAUUGCUUGAGCCCAGGAGUUCCAAACUGAAGCUUAGUUUUCUAAAGAUAAUUCUGCCUUCAAGCCUUGUUGGAAUUCUGUGAUAAUGUCUUUUCACUCCACGAUCUCCAUCAGGAAUUUUAUGGAACCUUGUAUUCUGUUGAAUACCAGAAUUACAUCAGCAAUCCCCAAGCCCCAAAGUCACCGGAUGGGCAUCAUUAUGACAGCAGAUCACCCAAUUGGCGUGCAUUUCCAGGAAUGCAUUUAUGGAAUAAGAAUAAAUGUUUACUCCCUUUUCCUGGGACAGUUCUAAAGACUCAGACUCCAUCAUGAAUUCAUGGCACCACACAGUCCCCUGAUGCUAUAACAUCAUGGAUUUCUUUUGUCCAGUGAGAGGCCCAAAAGCUGCAGCACAGACAAUAUCAUAGUGUAGAAGUUUAACUAGACCGUGAUCAUGGGCUACAUUCUCCAUACCAGCUUCAUAGCUCCAGUGAGAAAAUAAAUUCCUGCACCCAGGAGACGUGGAGUAAGAGAUACAGCUGCCCUUGACCAUAUUUCUUACUUCCGAGAAGAUUGUAGCAGUAAUUCAGAAUCUCAUCCAGGAUACCUCAUCACAGGCUGGAGUGCAGUGUCAUGAGCUUGGCUCACUACAGCCUCCAUCUUCUGUGCUUAAGGAUCCUUCCCUCUCAGCCUCCAGGGUAGCUGAGACUGCAGUAUUAAUUUUCUGUGAUUUUAAUAACACAUCAAUGAGUUCCUGAUGAGGGCAGGGAAGUGAAUCCUAAGAACAAUCAUGUGAGUUUGGAAGGAGACCCUUCCCCAGCUGAGCCUCAGCCUGAGCCAUCACCUACAUCUAGACCGAAGACCCAGAGAAACCGUGAGUAAUAUGUGUGUGGUUCUGAGCCACUAAGGUAUGUACUAAUUUGUUAUGCACCAAGUAGUAAGUAAUAUACCUGACAGUAAUUGUAAGGUGGUAUUCUGGAUUAGGUCCUGGAAUAGAUAAGUAUAUGAUUAUUAGAAAACCUGGUAAAAUAUGAAGGAAGUUUGUAGAUCAGUUAAUAGUCUUGAAAAACAGUUAAAUUCUUAGUUUUCAUGAAUAUGCUAUGGUUAUAAUAGAUAUUCAUAGUCUAGUUAGCUGAAUGGUAUAUGAAACUGUCUGUACUUACCUAUGUGCAUUUAUGUAAAUCUGCAGUUAUUUCAAAAUAAGUAUGUUUUUAAAUAUUAUUAUUUUGUUUUUUUUUAAAAAGAAAGCAAGUAAAGACACCAGCAGAAAACUUUUGCCUCCAGAUACAAGUGGGCAUGUAGGGAGAGAAUAGUAAACUGGCUUUUCUUUUCUAGGCAACAUUCGAAACCCAGGUGCCACUCCUUCAGGAAGGUACCAUCAAGCUCCAAGGACUCUUAUCCUCUUUCUCCUUCCCCACUACCUAGUCAUUAGAGCGUCAGCAUCCACUUCUUGAAAGGAAGAUGCCUGUUUUUCACAUAUCCCAGAAAGCCCCAUUUUAGGACAGCAUUUAGCAGAGUAUAUUCAGGAUCCCACUAACCUUUUUGGAAGACAUGACUUCCAGAUGAUAUAAGGCAAGAAUAAGAAAUUUCAGUGACAGGGAACAGAAAUCAUAUUUCUGCAUUCAGGAUCAUGUUUUCUUGCUACAGGGAUUUCUUCUUCAAGUAAUCCAAAGACAACUUUACCUUCAAACCUUUCAGAAAACCUGUUCUAAUUUAGUUCUCUUCAUUCUACAGGCUCCAUCAGGAACUGUGCAGGACUGUGCCCUCUGUUGAUACUCACAUGGUGGAAUUAUAUUGCCCUUGGCCAACCCUAAAGCCAUCAAGAUAGCAGGUCUGGCCUACAGAGAAGAGAGAUCAGGGAGCUCUUCAGUUGUACCCAGCCUCCCCACACAAAUCCACCUAACAAAGUCCUGAUAAACAGUAUGUUUUCUGAGUCUAUCAAUAUGGUUUUUUGUAGAGGUGGAGUUUCACCAUGUUGGCAAGGCUGGUCUUAAACUCCUGACCUGAACUGAUGGACCUGUCUGUGCUUCCGAAAGUGGUGGGAUUACAGGCAUGAGCCACCAUGCCCUGCUAUGAGGUCUUGUUCUUUUGGCCAGGCUGGAGUGCAGUG
rnacentral:lncRNA from 1 species